GACGAACGCUGGCGGCGUGCUUAACACAUGCAAGUCGAACGGAAAGGCCCUGCUUUCGUGGGGUGCUCGAGUGGCGAACGGGUGAGUAACACGUGAGUAACCUGCCCUUGACUUUGGGAUAACUUCAGGAAACUGGGGCUAAUACCGGAUAGGAGCUCCUGCUGCAUGGUGGGGGUUGGAAAGUUUCGGCGGUUGGGGAUGGACUCGCGGCUUAUCAGCUUGUUGGUGGGGUAGUGGCUUACCAAGGCUUUGACGGGUAGCCGGCCUGAGAGGGUGACCGGCCACAUUGGGACUGAGAUGCGGCCCAGACUCCUACGGGAGGCAGCAGUGGGGAAUAUUGCACAAUGGGCGGAAGCCUGAUGCAGCAACGCCGCGUGCGGGAUGACGGCCUUCGGGUUGUAAACCGCUUUCGCCUGUGACGAAGCGUGAGUGACGGUAAUGGGUAAAGAAGCACCGGCUAACUACGUG
rnacentral:rRNA from 1 species